rnacentral:rRNA from 1 species
AAAGGCCUGCAGCUUGCUGCGGGUACUCGAGUGGCGAACGGGUGAGUAACACGUGGGUGAUCUGCCUUGCACUUCGGGAUAAGCUUGGGAAACUGGGUCUAAUACCGGAUAGGACAGCUGUUUAGUGUCAGUUGUGGAAAGUUUUUUCGGUGCAAGAUGAGCUCGCGGCCUAUCAGCUUGUUGGUGGGGUAAUGGCCUACCAAGGCGUCGACGGGUAGCCGGCCUGAGAGGGUGUACGGCCACAUUGGGACUGAGAUACGGCCCAGACUCCUACGGGAGGCAGCAGUGGGGAAUAUUGCACAAUGGGCGGAAGCCUGAUGCAGCGACGCCGCGUGGGGGAUGAAGGCCUUCGGGUUGUAAACUCCUUUCGACAGGGACGAAGCGUAAGUGACGGUACCUGUAUAAGAAGCACCGGCUAACUACGUGCCAGCAGCCGCGGUAAUACGUAGGGUGCGAGCGUUGUCCGGAAUUACUGGGCGUAAAGAGCUCGUAGGUGGUUUGUCGCGUCGUCUGUGAAAUUCCGGGGCUUAACUCCGGGCGUGCAGGCGAUACGGGCUGACUUGAGUGCUGUAGGGGAGACUGGAAUUCCAUGUGUAGCGGUGAAAUGCGCAGAGAUAUGGAGGAACACCGAUGGCGAAGGCAGGUCUCUGGGCAGUAACUGACGCUGAGGAGCGAAAGCAUGGGUAGCGAACAGGAUUAGAUACCCUGGUAGUCCAUGCCGUAAACGGUGGGCGCUAGGUGUAGGGGGCUUCCACGUCUUCUGUGCCGUAGCUAACGCAUAAGCGCCCCGCCUGGGGAUAC